UACGGGGGGAGCAAGCGUUGUUCGGAUUCAUUGGGCGUAAAGGGCGCGUAGGCGGCUUGGUAAGUCGGGGGUGAAAGUCAGCGGCUCAACCGCUGGACUGCCUUCGAGACUGCCUGGCUUGAGCAUGGUAGAGGCUGGCGGAAUUCCCGGUGUAGCGGUGGAAUGCGUAGAGAUCGGGAAGAACAUCGGUGGCGAAGGCGGCCAGCUGGGCCAUUGCUGACGCUGAGGCGCGACAGCGUGGGGAGCAAACAGG
rnacentral:rRNA from 1 species